rnacentral:rRNA from 1 species
AUGGCUCAGGACGAACGCUGGCGGCGUGCCUAAUACAUGCAAGUCGAACGGUCUUUCUAUGGAAGCUUGCUUCCACUGAGAAGAUAGUGGCGAACGGGUGAGUAACACGUGGGUAACCUGCCCAUAAGAGGGGGAUAACAUCCGGAAACGGGUGCUAAUACCGCAUAGUUUUCUUGAUCGCAUGAUUGGGAAAGGAAAGACGGCCUUUGUGCUGUCGCUUAUGGAUGGACCCGCGGCGUAUUAGUUAGUUGGUGAGGUAACGGCUCACCAAGACGAUGAUACGUAGCCGACCUGAGAGGGUGAUCGGCCACAUUGGGACUGAGACACGGCCCAAACUCCUACGGGAGGCAGCAGUAGGGAAUCUUCCGCAAUGGACGAAAGUCUGACGGAGCAACGCCGCGUGAGUGAAGAAAGGUUUUCGGAUCGUAAAACUCUGUUGUCAGAGAAGAACAAGUUGGAGAGUAACUGCUCCAGCCUUGACGGUAUCUGACCAGAAAGCCACGGCUAACUACGUGCCAGCCGCAGC